CCUACGGGAGGCAGCAGUGGGGGAUAUUGCACAAUGGGGGGAACCCUGAUGCAGCGACGCCGCGUGGGUGAAGGAGCGUUUCGGCGCGUAAAGCUCUAUCGGCAGGGAAGAAGGAGGACGGUACCUGACUAAGAAGCCCCGACAAACUACGUGCCAGCAGCCGCGGUAAUACGUAGGGGGCAAGCGUUAUCGGAUUUACUGGGGGUAAAGGGGGCGGAGAAGGCAGCGCAAACCAGGAGUGAAAGCCCGGGGCCCAACCCCGGGACUGCUCUUGGAACUGGCCGGCUGGAGUGCAGGAGGGGCAGGCGGAAUUCCUGGUGUAGCAGGGAAAUGCGUAGAUAGCAGGAGGAACACCGGUGGCGAAGGCGGCCUGCUGGACUGCGACUGACGUUGAGGCCCGAAAGCGUGGGGAGCAAACAGGAUUAGAUACCCGGGUAGUC
rnacentral:rRNA from 1 species